rnacentral:rRNA from 1 species
ACGUAGGGUGCAAGCGUUAAUCGGAAUUACUGGGCGUAAAGCGUACGCAGGCGGCUAUGUAAGACAGGUGUGGAAUCUCCGGGCUUAACCUGGGAACUGCAUUUGUGACUGCAUAGCUAGAGCCUGUCAGAGGGGGGUGGAAUUCCACGUGUAGCAGUGAAAUGCGUAGAGAUGUGGAGGAACACCGAUGGCGAAGGCAGCCCCCUGGGAUAAGACUGACGCUCAUGUACGAAAGCGUGGGGAGCAAACAGGA